GGGUCAGUGGGGGUGAGAAACUGGCUUGGCUAUGGCACUAAAACUACAGUCAGUCUUUUUCUCUCUCCUAUCGGCCCCGCG
rnacentral:pre_miRNA from 1 species